GUGAGGAAUAUUGGUCAAUGGGCGGGAGCCUGAACCAGCCAAGUCGCGUGAAGGAAGAAGGAUCUAUGGUUCGUAAACUUCUUUUGCAGGGGAAUAAAGUGCAGGACGUGUCCUGUUUUGUAUGUACCCUGAGAAUAAGGAUCGGCUAACUCCGUGCCAGCAGCCGCGGUAAUACGGAGGAUCCGAGCGUUAUCCGGAUUUAUUGGGUUUAAAGGGUGCGUAGGUGGUUUGAUAAGUCAGCGGUGAAAGUUUGCAGCUUAACUGUAAAAAUGCCGUUGAAACUGUCGGACUUGAGUGUAAAUGAGGUAGGCGGAAUGCGUGGUGUAGCGGUGAAAUGCAUAGAUAUCACGAAGAACUCCGAUUGCUAAGGCAGCUUACUAAGCUACAACUGACACUGAAGCACGAAAGCGUGGGGAUCAAACAGGAUUAGAUACCCGUGUAGUCC
rnacentral:rRNA from 1 species